CUAAACCAACCCCAUCUUAUAUAACCUUGAUGACACAGACGGCCUUAAAAGUAGACUGCUUUGCAAUCAUAGAAUCCAUAACAUUUUCGAUGAUCAUCAAUGAAGUUCAAACAUUUCAGGCAAAAGGUUCUCAAUUAGCUCACCACUUUUGCUUUUGAAAUAAGAAUCUUUUUCUCAAUUAUUUGUGAGGGUCCACGGCCCCAAUGACAAGCUCUUUAUCUCAGACCAGCGGCGGUCUGCUUUGGGUUUCAAGCCAUUGGAGAAACCGAGGACACAUAAAUGUAACUUGUGGCUGCUUCGUGUGGGGUGGCUUCGUGACUGUAUUUCUGUUUAACUGGGUCUUGCGUGCGGAGGGAGAUCUUAGCCCGUGGUAAACCCAGGCCGCCCAGGCUCUGACUCUGCAAGCAAUCGUGUUGUACCCCAACAAACCCAAAUCCUUAAGGUGAUUUCAGGUAUAAUGACCGGGCUCUGCCGCUCACUCUCUGCCUGUCUGUGUGUUUGUCUCUGAGUGAGGGUGGAGUAGUGGGGUGUGCGUGUGUGUGUGUGUGUGUGUGUGUGUGUGUGUACGUACAACCGAAGGACGAAAAUAAUGAUUUUGAAUCUUCAGCAGACAAGAGGCCAUUUUCCUUUCUCUCUAGCGCACUGAACACAAACAAGCAAACAAAAACCCUCAUUAUCCCCCAACUCUUUAUCCUCCUCACCCCUUUCCCCUUCUGAUUCCCCCUCCAUCUCUCUCUCUCUCUCUCUCUUCCUCCCCCCCCCGUCGUCUCUCCAGCCAAACGACUCUGCCUGCUGUGGCCAGGGUCCCACCAUACAAGGAGACACACACACACCAUGCGCGAGAGACACUUGGAGAGCGCGAGAGAGGGAGACAGAAUGACAGCGAGCUACAGGGAGGAGUGGGAGAAUCUAUACUUUUGACACUUUGCUUUCGAAAAUGAACUGACUUGACAUGUAUAUCCCAGCCAACUGGGCACACACACACACACAGAGAUUGUUCAUUGCGCUACAUUAGAAAUGGGAGAGAACGUUGAAUAGAAGAAACAGAAAGAGAAGAGAGAGAGGGAGAGAGAGAGAGAGCAAGACAGAGACAGAGAGAAAGAGAGAGAGAUAGCGAGUGAGCAUGACAGAGAGAGAGAGAGAGGGCGAGAGAGAGAGAGCGAGAGGGAGAGGGACAGAGAGAGAUAGUAACACCGUUACAUGAGGAAGAAGAUAAAGUUCAGGGUGAAGGAGACUGGAGAAAACGUGAGAAACGGUCAAACACG
ensembl:lncRNA